rnacentral:rRNA from 1 species
UGGGGAAUUUUGGACAAUGGGCGAAAGCCUGAUCCAGCCAUGCCGCGUGCAGGAUGAAGGCCUUCGGGUUGUAAACUGCUUUUGUACGGAACGAAAAGCCUCUUUCUAAUAAAGAGAGGUCAUGACGGUACCGUAAGAAUAAGCACCGGCUAACUACGUGCCAGCAGCCGCGGUAAUACGUAGGGUGCAAGCGUUAAUCGGAAUUACUGGGCGUAAAGCGUGCGCAGGCGGUUUUGUAAGACAGAGGUGAAAUCCCCGGGCUCAACCUGGGAACUGCCUUUGUGACUGCAAGGCUGGAGUGCGGCAGAGGGGGAUGGAAUUCCGCGUGUAGCAGUGAAAUGCGUAGAUAUGCGGAGGAACACCGAUGGCGAAGGCAAUCCCCUGGGCCUGCACUGACGCUCAUGCACGAAAAGCGUGGGGAGCAAAACAGGAUUAGAUACCCCUGGUAGUCCACGCCCUAAAACGAUGUCAACUGGUUGUUGGGGUCUUCACUGACUCAGUAAACGAAGCUAACGCGUGAAGUUGACCGCCUGGGGAGUACGCCGCAAGGUUGAAACUCAAAUGAAUUG